UUUAUCUGGCCAACACCCACGGACACGGUCACUCUAAAUCCCAUAAAGAUUAUAGGAGAAAGUAUGGAAACAGACGGUUUACUUGUGGUAUAUCUAAGUGACGGGAUUUAAUGCCAAUUUUCAAUGGCGGCAAUCAAAACAUAAUAUUUACCAAACAAAUACGCAGCGUUGCAAUAUGUUUGCACCUCUCCAGAGAUUUUACCUUCCAAUUAGUUGCUGAAAAUGGAUGCACCAAAUUGUCAUAUCGAUGGCCAUAUGUGAGUAUUUGAUGGCUGAUGACUCACACAGCCCCCGGCUGCCAGUCCCCCUCCCCGAACUCUGCAUUAAUUACAAUCCCCCCAAUCGCCUGUGGGGAAAUCAGCAGCGCAUAUUGUCGCAGGAAAAAGUAAUGAAACCCACGGAAGAAAGGAAACCGAAAUUGAAUUUCGAGAGCAGUGGUCGCAAAAAUGCUUUUAACGCGAGCCAAAUGCGUUGAAGAUACGAUAUGAGUGGCCAAAGGGAAAUGGGUCCUGGAGCGUGCAUCAUAAUUAAUGUUAAUUGCCUGAUUGAAUGGGAGGCCUACGAAUCCACGUGUCCUUUUUCAGGAUGAAUUGCCGGAAACUUUAUUGGAGCAUAUUGCGCCUGAAUAAACAUUGGAAAAUGUGUGCUCAUUAUAAAGAUCGCAAUUGCAACAAAUGCUUUAAGUGAAUUAAGCAAGA
rnacentral:sRNA from 1 species